UUUAAUUUUAUCAUCAGACUCUUAUAUAUCCUCCCAUAUCCGGCCUUCAUCACCACGUAGUGGGCACUGUGAGUCCAACUUUAUCGUUGCAACCAUGUAUAUAACAUCUCCUCCAUCUUUAAAAACCGGUGCAAAUCGCCUUCUUUAAUGGAUUGGAAAGCGGUUUAUACUGAUAUGACAGGUUGACUUGGUCCAAACAUACUGAUGUGACAGCCCAGUCAUCAAAAGGGUUAAAAAUAGAAGUGGGUCCCUAAUCUAAGUGGCAAAGGAUAAAAUAAAAAAAUAUGGGCCCACUUGUUAGUCCCACUUUUCCUAUUCUUCUUCCUCUCUUCUAUCUCUCUCUCUCUUUCUCAGCCGCCGCCGCAAAUGCUGCACACACGCCAAGAAUGAAUCGGCUGCGCACGGCAGCUGUGCUGAGGCCGGCGCGGACAUCCCAUAUGUGAAGGGUGCAGCCAUGGACGGCAGCGAGCCAUGGUGUUAGUGCUUGCCCUUUUUCAGUUGCCUAUGUGCAGGUCUGCACGAGAGGCCCAACAGAGUCGCCAGCGGCGAGAAGGAGGAGUGGGCCGUGGCGUAUGUGCGGUUGUCGUUGUCGUCGGACGCCAUCUCCUACUCCUCCAGCAUCUCCACGGACAUGCCGCUCUAUGAGCCCCCCGAGGUGUCGUUCGACGAGUACCUCCUCGACUGCGCGCGCAUGUUCCACGCCAUGUUCCCCGACGAGAGCAGGAGCCAGCGCCCCAGCGACGAGGAGUGGAGAGUCUAGAUGCUGUCGCUGCAUGUGUUUGUUUGUUUGUCUAUUUGGGCACGUAGACGAAGUGGGAGCUACGUGGGCUGGAGCGCGGCUACGCAUCGGCGAGCUUCGACCUUGGCAUCCGCGGGUCGCUCUACACCGAUAGAAGAGUGCGCGACUAAGACUGAUGGGAGAAAAGAGUGCGCGGCCGGCCGGUGACCCUUUCCCCCGCACGCGUCACGACCUGCGACCCCUCCUAGGCGCGUCGGUUGGCCACUCCGCCCCCACGUGCUGCUGUAAGGUGAGAGAAGAGGUAGAGGAAAGAGAGAGGUGGAGAGGUAAGGAAGAAUAUAGAUGGAGGAGGUUGCUGACAGGUGGGAGGUGGGGCACACAAGCUGAUUCAGUCAACGGGGUCAAAACUGCCACGUCGACGAAACCACCUUUCUAACCGCUGAAAGAGGCGAUUUGCACUGGUUUUUAAAGAUGGGGGAGUCGCUAUACCCGGUUUUAUGAUUGAGGGAAGUUAUUUAACUAGAGCAAGAGUUGAGGGAAGCAGUAUGGACUUAUUCUACUUAGAAAAGAGCCACAUAUAGCCCCCAGCCCAACUAACUAAUCCCUAGCUCGGUAGCUCCCGACCCCGGCGGCCGCCGGCGCUCCUGUCUCCGGCAGGUAGCAGGCCGCAGGUGGAAGCGCGCGGCGCUGGCGGCGGUGAGCAGGCAAGCAGCGGAGUACGGGACGGCGUGUCCGCGCGACUUCGCGAGCGCGAGCAGCAGCAGCAGCAGGCCAGCAGUCAGCAGAGGCCAGCGCGAGCAGGAGGGAGCUGAGCAGGUUGCAGACAGGCGGCCCGCGGCCGGCCGCCGGCGCCAGCGACGCCACGGGAGGUCGGGUGCGUGCAUACUGCCUGCAGUCUGCAGCAGACCAGCAGCAGGCCGGCGGCUGCAACCUGCCAAUCUGCAAAACAACUAAACAAGGUAUGCUUAUCACUUAUCAGUUUAUGCAAAUAUGCAAUUGUGAUUACCUAAGUGGAAAUUUGGAAUGGCUCAAUCCAUUAGCAAUUUAGCACAGUUUCAUCUUGUGAAGUUGUGAUGUAUUUCUCAUUAUUUCUCUAUUUCUAUAUGAAACUUCUUUAGAAUACAACAUAAUACUAUGGUAUUAUAAUAUUGUAUGAGACAUGAUGUGUUUA